rnacentral:sRNA from 1 species
GCUGGGUGUGUUGGCACAUGCCUGUAAUCCCAGCUACCUGGGAGGCUGAGGCAGGAGGAUCGCUUGAACCCGGGAGGCAGAGUUUGCAGUGAGUUGAGACCCAGUCACUGCACUCCAGCCUGGGUGACAGAGUGACACUCUGUCUCAA